GGCCCCGUAGCUCAGCUGGAUAGAGCAUCAGAUUCCUAAUCUGAGGGUCACAGGUUCAAAUCCUGUCGGGGUCACCA
rnacentral:tRNA from 1 species